AGAGUUUGAUCAUGGCUCAGGACGAACGCUGGCGGCGUGCUUAACACAUGCAAGUCGAACGGAAAGGCCCUUCGGGGUACUCGAGUGGCGAACGGGUGAGUAACACGUGGGUGAUCUGCCCUGCACUUUGGGAUAAGCCUGGGAAACUGGGUCUAAUACCGAAUAGGACCGCGCGCUUCAUGGUGUGUGGUGGAAAGCUUUUGCGGUGUGGGAUGGGCCCGCGGCCUAUCAGCUUGUUGGUGGGGUAAUGGCCUACCAAGGCGACGACGGGUAGCCGGCCUGAGAGGGUGACCGGCCACACUGGGACUGAGAUACGGCCCAGACUCCUACGGGAGGCAGCAGUGGGGAAUUUUGGACAAUGGACGCAAGCCUGAUCCAGCCAUGCCGCGUGCGGGAAGAAGGCCUUCGGGUUGUAAACCGCUUUUGUCAGGGAAGAAAUCCUUUGGGUUAAUACCCCGGGGGGAUGACGGUACCUGAAGAAUAAGCACCGGCUAACUACGUGCCAGCAGCCGCGGUAAUACGUAGGGUGCAAGCGUUAAUCGGAAUUACUGGGCGUAAAGCGUGCGCAGGCGGUUUUGUAAGACAGAGGUGAAAUCCCCGGGCUCAACCUGGGAACUGCCUUUGUGACUGCAAGGCUUGAGUGCGGCAGAGGGGGAUGGAAUUCCGCGUGUAGCAGUGAAAUGCGUAGAUAUGCGGAGGAACACCGAUGGCGAAGGCAAUCCCCUGGGCCUGCACUGACGCUCAUGCACGAAAGUGUGGGGAGCAAACAGGAUUAGAUACCCCGGUAGUCCAA
rnacentral:rRNA from 1 species